rnacentral:rRNA from 1 species
UACGUAGGGGGCAAGCGUUGUCCGGAAUCAUUGGGCGUAAAGAGCGUGUAGGCGGCUUGGUAAGUCCGCUGUGAAAGUCCAGGGCUCAACCCUGGAAUGCCGGUGGAAACUGUCAGGCUCGAGUCCGGAAGAGGCGAGUGGAAUUCCUGGUGUAGCGGUGAAGUGCGCAGAUAUCAGGAGGAACACCAAUGGCGAAGGCAGCUCGCUGGGACGGUACUGACGCUGAGACGCGAAAGCGUGGGGAGCAAACAGG